rnacentral:rRNA from 1 species
CAGCAGCCACGGUAAUACGGAGGGUGCAAGCGUUAAUCGGAAUUACUGGGCGUAAAGCGCACGCAGGCGGUCUGACAAGUCAGAUGUGAAAUCCCCGGGCUUAACCUGGGAACUGCAUUUGAAACUGUCAGGCUGGAGUCUUGUAGAGGGGGGUGGAAUUCCAGGUGUAGCGGUGAAAUGCGUAGAGAUCUGGAGGAAUACCGGUGGCGAAGGCGGCCCCCUGGACAAAGACUGACGCUCAGGUGCGAAAGCGUGGGGAGCAAACAGGAUUAGAUACCCCGGUAGUCCCUGUCUCUUAUAA